CUUGGCUUCAGAAAGCUAGACGGCGCCACAGUUCGUAUUCUAAAACGUGACAAAAACCAGCUAAUUCCCAUCUCAGUAAAAAGAAAGAGUAAGUAAAACGAUUAGAUUGACUUUAAAACAAAGAAACUUCAAACAAUUCACACAAUAGGAUAUGAGCCCGUAGGCUCUCUUCAAAUGAGAGACCGAAUCUUACGGAUCUCUAAAGUAUUGAAAGAUUUCCCUUAUAACAAAAAAACUUCGAAAACUUUGAUUGUUAAAGGUAUAUGAAUGUACGAAAAAAGCAAUUGUACUCGAAAUCUUCCUUUAUGUAGGAAAGCUUGAGGCAAUUAGAAAUAACGAAGCUUUCAUGUGUUAUGUUCGAAUUUUCACAAUAGAAAGCUUUCCAACGAAAUACAUGACACUUGUGUUAAGUCUCAUUAUCCCAAAACUUCCUCUCUAGCUAUUACUGAUGGAUCAAGCUUUAUGAGAAUGACAGUUCGGUAUGGAUAUUGCGAAAGAGGCACCGAGUGGGCAGAAGCUUUACAAGGCUAGAUUGUUAGCUAGAAGUCUUAAUAUAACAAAAGCUGUGCACAAAAAAGCCAGAGGCUCUUAACAAACGUAUAUUCAGCAGUUAUUAUCAUUUAACUGAAGAAUUGUAUUUGUAUUCGAGCGAAAGUUACAUUUUGAUUAGCACUUGGACAAGAUUCAACAUGGCAGCCGUAUAUUCAUAAAUAUAUGCUUCAUUUUCAACUUACAAAUUGGGCACUGUCAAGGAAUCCUUCGAUGAUUCCAGCUAAAUACGCGCAACAAUUUAGCUGAUUCAUUUCCUUAGGAACUGAAAUAAAUUUGUUAAGAAGAGGAUUGUUAUCAACUAUCAUGUCUAUAGCUCCAGUUAGUUAAAAACACGAAUAAUAAAUAAAAAAAUUCAAGAACGCGUAUGAUAGCUUGUUCGAAUAUUUGCAUAGCAAUAGAAAACAUACAUUCAUCCGAAGCCUCCUUAGACUUCUCCAAGGAGUCCGCGUGUUUCCCAAAAAGAUAUUUCCAUACAGAUGAGUGAAUGUAUUGUAAAAUGCCUAAUAUACGAGUUUCACGUUUGGGAUUUCGCUCCCUCCAAACAACUAAUUCAACUAAUUUUUGACCAACUCUAUAACCGUGUUCGUUUAAUCUAUAGCAUUAGUAAACAGUUCGGUCUGAAAUGUUGACGCUUACUUUUCUUCGAAUUCUUGGAUUCCUGAUACUUGGGACUGAAUCCUUUGAAUUAAUUCACUAAAAAUAAAUGCAAACGAUGAAAGAUUGACGUCGGAAUUCCGAAUUUUAUUCAAAUUUUGCUCAUAAACACUCUUUCCCAUUAAGGGUGCUGUAGACUUGAGGGAUUCAGAGACUGAGCUUCUGAAUAAUUCUUUAUUAGUGGAUUGCAUUUUAUAUUUUUAGCCUGAAUUAGAAAAGUUCCGGGG